AAAAGUAGAGGUGCAUAUUUCAAAAGUACACAAGCCAAUGCUAUAAGGAGCAGAAGAAGUUUGUCCAAAGGGGAAUGUGCCGAAGAGGGGACUUGCCUUAUCAUGUUUCUUCUGGUUGUGCAGUUAACAGCUGUAUGACUGUCAUCUUUUUAAAAAGAUGGAGCGCUACA
rnacentral:ncRNA from 1 species